ensembl:lncRNA
GCCAGAGAGCCAUGAGCUGGCCAUGCACGUUCACGUGAGAGUUAGCUUGAGUUCCAUUGCACUUCUGAAGACAAAGGAAUUCUCCGGUUGGAACAUUAUUGAAGAUUUAUGUUAAAAACAUCCUAAAGAUUGAUUCUAUACAUCGUUUGACAUGUUUCUACGGACUGUAACAGAACUUUUUGACUUUUCGUCUGCUCCUAGUGAUCGCACGUCGUGAAUUUGGAUUACUGGGCUAAACGCGCAAACAAAAAGGAGGUAUUUGGACAUAAAUGAUGGACAUUACGAACAGAACAAACAUUUAUUGUGGAACUGGGAUUCCUGGGAUUCCUUAUAAUGCUAUUUCUGACCUCUGUUGACUACACAACAUGGCGGAUAUCUGUUUGGGUUGUUUUGGUCUCUGAGCGCUGUACUCAGAUUAUAGCAUGGUGUGCUUUUUCGGUAAAGCUUUUUUGAAAUCUGACACAGAGGUUGCAUUAAGGAGAAGUGUAUCUAUAAUUCCGUGCAUAAUAGUUGUAUCUUUUAUAAAUGUUUAUUAUGAGUAUUUCUGUAAAUUGAUGUGGCUCUCUGCAAAAUCACCGGAUGUUUUGGAACUACUGAAUGUAACGCGCCAAUGUAUACUGAGAUUUUUUUAUAUAAAUAUGAACUUUAUCGAACAAAACAUACAUGUAUUGUGUAACAUGAAGUCCUAUGAGUGUCAUCUGAUGAAGAUCAUCAAAGGAAGGACAACUGUCAACCAGCAAGAGAUGAUUCAAACACAGCUCUCUAAUCCAUCCCCAGGGACGGCUGAAAGAACCAGAGGUAACUUUAGG